rnacentral:rRNA from 1 species
GAUGAACGCUGGCGGCGUGCCUAAUACAUGCAAGUCGAGCGAACAGAUAAGGAGCUUGCUCCUUUGACGUUAGCGGCGGACGGGUGAGUAACACGUGGGUAACCUACCUAUAAGACUGGAAUAACUCCGGGAAACCGGGGCUAAUGCCGGAUAACAUUUAGAACCGCAUGGUUCUAAAGUGAAAGAUGGUUUUGCUAUCACUUAUAGAUGGACCCGCGCCGUAUUAGCUAGUUGGUAAGGUAACGGCUUACCAAGGCAACGAUACGUAGCCGACCUGAGAGGGUGAUCGGCCACACUGGAACUGAGACACGGUCCAGACUCCUACGAGAGGCAGCAGUAGGGAAUCGGACGCAAUGGGCGAAAGCCUGACGGAGCAACGCCGCGUGAGAGAUGACGGUCUUCGGAGCGUAAAACUCUGUUAUUAGGGAAGAACAAAUGUGUAAGUAACUGUGCACGUCUUGACGGUACCUAAUCAGAAAGCCACGGCUAACUACGUG